GCCAUCGCGGUACAAGAAGCACGAGUACUUCAUUGGGCACCUCAUCUACAGGAGGACGUCGCAGCCGAUCCGGUGCUCUCAGUAUUGGAACCCCUCGUAGGAGGGGCAAGGAGAGACCCCCUCAAGACAUCGUCAGUGAGGAGUCUGAGGAGACAUCAAGCUCAGAUGGUGAAGAUCCUGACUACGGCCAUGAUGAGAUUGGCUUCUCACAGAUUCCGGACGCUCCAGAGCCCACGCAAGAUACUCCACGACCAAAGAGGCGGACAAGGGCACGGGCACGGGAUCACACUGAUGUCGGGAACGCUAACGUCCUAGCAACUAAGCCGGGCCGCCCUCGUCGUCCCAAGAAACCUUUCACCCCACAUGCGUCCCAUGACUAGCAUGGUACUAGGUAUGUUUGAACAAGGCUUGGUAGCCUCCACAACCAUGUUGGGUACGAGUGAAGUAUGAGUAGAUGUAGAUGGAACUAUGUAACUUAGAUGGAAACAUGUUGGCUAACAUCGAUGUACUGUUGAAUCAAAUGUUGCCUAAAUUUAGUUUGUCACUGGACCUCUUGUAUUAGUGUGGUUGAUAUCUUUUGCUUGUGACCUC